rnacentral:antisense_RNA from 11 species
AAUAACCGAAUAUAACGCUUGGACUAAGGGUCAAGUUGGUAAUUUUUCUUACAUCUCCCCCCCCGGGAGCCCAGGUAUCAUAUACGCCCCCAAAAUAAAUAGCCUUGAGUACUAGAAGAAAAGCACCUAUACCUAAUAAAAUUAGGUGAAUACCCAAAAUUGUAGUCAUUUUAUUUCUAUCUUUCCA